AUCUCUCUUCUUCACCAGCAUUUGGAUGUCCAAGACAAUCCUUCAAAAUCUUUCGAUCCCCCUAAACAAGCCCAACCCAGCCAGUAAUUUAUUAGAUCAUUUAAUGGAGAGCUUUUGGCUGAGUAAUGGCAGUGACGUGCAAAUAUGUUUGUUUUUGAAGUGAUUCACCAGCUACUCUGUUAAUAUCUUCGCAUACUCUUUAUGUGGCAGUUGAAAUUCAUGUUGAUGCAUUUUGAGCCAUGUGAUCUUUCUUUAGAACCGAAGCAUGAUGCAUAGCACAAAGUGUUUCAGAUGCUUGUGUAUAUGCUUUUCUUUCCGGGUAAUGCUGUUGACCUAGAGGAUCAUCUUAUUUGAAUAGUGCGAUGGCGCUCAUAUUAUAAACUAGGUCAGGUUGUAAACGAGCUGGAUCCAAGAACUUGGAGUUAACCUCAAAAGGAUAAUCUCAUAUCUUAUUAGUGAUUAGUGAUGUAUUAUCAAGUGGCACUAGCCAAGGUCAUAAUUUAGAUUAUAGCACAGAAAAUUGGACUGCUAUCUCUGAAAGGGAACGGUGAGAUAUACGAGUAUGAAGAGGUAAGAGUCGCUAAAUGAUGCAUGUGCUAAACUGCUAACUUUGAUGCUUCUUCUUUUACAACACUUUCAAUCUUUCGCUGGUUCUCCAAAGCUAAUCGUAGUUUCUCAGUCAUGAUCUCUCAACCGAAGUGGAUACAUGGCUUCUUGCUCUUCCUAUACGGUCAUAUUCUAUCCACUGACUGAGCUAAAUUACGUUUCUGCAACAGUUGUUCCCUUGAGGUAUCUACGAGCUCAACAAUAUCUUCUUAGAAACUCAAUGGAAUCCAAACAAACCUGUAAUGGUUCUCUUGAUUGUCGUUCCUAAUGCAAUAUCUUGUAUUUAUAGACACGAGAGAUAGGCUGAUUAACGAUGGUUAUGCCGAGGUGUCAUUUCUAAAAUGCAUCAGCAUACAAUGGGGCAGCUAACUUUUAAAGUGUGUCUUGGUAGAGGCUCUGCAGUAUCUAUUUUAUGCUGUUAUAUUCUAAUGUUUGAUAGUUAUUCUUUUUACCUGUCUUUAGAGCUAUGCAAGUUCUCUUUAGAACUCAGAGUGUGAUGCAGAGCACAUACAUUUCUUUCCGUAGAAUGGCUGCUGAUAAAAGGGUGACUUCGUACGCAUAAUGAGCAUGGUGCCCGCACGAUGCGGCGGUAGUGACGGUAAUGCGGUGAUCACGGGUGGCGGCAACGAAUGGUGGUGGUGACAACUAAUAGU